GGUUCCACUCUUCUACUGACAAGUGGUAUUAUCAAACAGCGUCUUGGAGCUGCUGCACUUGACAGUGUCCAUGAGUACCGUCUGUCCAGCUGGCUGGGCCAACAAGAAGACAUCCAUCGCAUAGUUCUUUACCAGACUGACUACACACUGACCCCGUGGACACAGAGGUGCAUCCGUCAGGCUGACUGCAUCAUUAUUGUGGGACUAGGAGAGCAGGACCCUACUGUAGGGGAGCCACAGUACCCUGGGCACCCUACAGUCCAUGGAUUGGUCAAACCCGUACUGAGGCCCCUUAUGUGGCAGUUAACACUUGCCUGAAACUGGGUCAUGCAACAUGG